GAGGGUAUAGCUCAGUGGUAGAGUGCAUGCCUAGCAUGCACGAGGUCCUGGGUUCCAGUACCUCCA
rnacentral:tRNA from 1 species